rnacentral:rRNA from 1 species
UACAGAGGGUGCCAGCGUUGCUCGGAAUUACUGGGCGUAAAGCGUGCGUAGGCGGCCGGGUAUGUCGGGUGUGAAAUCCCGGGGCUCAACCCCGGAACUGCAUCCGAAACUGCUUGGCUUGAGUACGGGAGAGGGAAGCGGAAUUCCCAGUGUAGAGGUGAAAUUCGUAGAUACUGGGAGGAACACCGGUGGCGAAAGCGGCUUCCUGGCCCGAAACUGACGCUGAGGCACGAAAGCGUGGGGAGCAAACAGG